GAGGACUGCAGGUGAAAAAUCUGAGUCAUCCAAGAAGCGAGCAGCUGUUUUGGGAAAUAAGUGACUGUCACUUUUUCACUCGGUCUUCAGGCAACUAAGUGUCCUGAUCCUACGGUCUGCAGCAAGGCGUCAGAGCCUACAUUUCCGAAGUACGAAAUGAAGCCUUUCCUCAUGGCUGGGUCACUGUUAGGUGUGAUGGAGCCCUGCUUUCCUGGAGAUGGCUGAACACCUGCCUGCCCAUGGGAAGCGGGGAAGACAUAGCCAGAAGACAGCACGGCCAUUUCACGAAAGCCUUGGCUACAGACUGCUGCCCAUCAAUCCUCCGUGUCUGGAGAAGACCCGGCCGACAGUGGUGUCCCAUCGGCUGCCUUGGUGGAUUUACCGCUGCCCAUCUUUCUUCCCAGGAUCAUCAUUCAAAUCUUUCCUGUCCUGUCCUAAAAUGUCAUUAUGAUGAGACAGAUGAAGGGAAUGAAAUUAGAAGUAGAACCAUAAAACAGC